GCAAGUCGAGCGCAGUCCUUCGGGGCACUAUGUUAGUGGCGCACGGGUGAGUAACACGUGGGAACGUACCCUUUAGUGCGGAAUAACCAAGGGAAACUUUGGCUAAUACCGCAUACGCCCUUCGGGGGAAAGAUUUAUCGCUAAAGGAUCGGCCCGCGCCUGAUUAGGUUGUUGGUGGGGUAAAAGCCUACCAAGCCGACGAUCAGUAGCUGGUCUGAGAGGACGAUC
rnacentral:rRNA from 1 species